rnacentral:rRNA from 1 species
CCUACGGGCGGCAGCAGUGAGGAAUAUUGGUCAAUGGGCGAGAGCCUGAACCAGCUAAGUCGCGUGAAGGAUGAAGGAUCUAUGGUUUGUAAACUUCUUUUAUAUGGGAAUAAAGUGAGGAACGUGUUUCUUUUUGUAUGUACCAUAUGUAUUAGCAUCGGCUAACUCCGUGCCAGCAGCCGCGGUAAUACGGAGGAUGCGAGCGUUAUCCGGAUUUAUUGGCUUUAAAGGGUGCGUAGGUGGUUAAUUAAGUCGGCGGUGAAAGUUUGGGGCUCAACCAUAAAAUUGCGGUUGAUACUGGUUGACUUGAGUAUAUUUGAGGUAGGCGGAAUGCGUGGUGUAGCGGUGAAAUGCAUAGAGAUCACGCAGAACCCCGAUUGCGAAGGCAGCAUGCCGGCUUCCGACUGACGCUGAAGCACGAAAGCGUGGGGAUCGAACAGGAUUAGAUACCCCAGUAGUC